AGCAACAGAGGCCUUUUGGUUCCACCUGGCCUCCCUGGGGAUGCUUCUGCCGUUCCCUGCACAUCUCCUCAAUCUGAUUAGAAACAGGAAGGAUUGCUGGCUCCUCUGCCACUGGAGCCACCCUGGCUCGGGAGCUGGGCUCCCACUUGCAUGCACCAACCCAGGCUUGGGAUGAGCAUCACAGCCCCCAGCUGAACCCCUGCACCAUGGGCAUCCUGACUGGCCCCAACCGAGAGAUCCAAGGUGCUGCUGGAUAGCUGUGUGGUGUCGCAGGUGGGUGAGGGCCAGAGCGAAGAAGACGGGACCCGGCCCCAGAGCGCUUCAGACCAGAAGCUGUGGGAGGAAGCUGGGGAGGAGGCCGAGGAGGAGGCUGAAGAGAAGGCCAAGGAGGAGGCCGAGGAGGAGGCUGAAGCAGAGGCUGAAAAGGAGCCCCAGGAGUGGGCCGAGACCAAGGAGGACCCUGAGGCCGAGGCCGAGGCUGCCAGUUCAGGAGUCCCCAGGGUCACGCCUCUGCCUGAGACCCUCUGGCCCCAGCACCAUGGCUACACCAUGCCAGAACAUGGAGCUGAAUCGCCUAGUUCAGGACCAGCUACCUGGCCAGGUGGCCUCUGCCUCUGCCCUCCAAAACCUGGUAGAGCAUCUCCCUAAUGUGCCCAGCUACCGCGUCCCAAUCACCCGCAUCCCUGUCCUCACCUCCCGGAGAACCACCUUGUCCAACUCCAGCUUCGCCAAGGAGACCAAGAGCUCCAUCCGCCAACUAGUGCCUGCCACGAAACAGCACCCAGAAGUGCAGGUGGAAGAUACCGAUGCUGAUAGCUGCCCCCUCAUGGCGGAAGAGAAUCCACCCUCACCCGUGUUGCCGCCACCGUCUUCUG
rnacentral:sRNA from 1 species